GCCAGGUGUGGUGGCUCACACCUGUAAUCCUGGUACUUUGGGAGGCCAAGGCAGGAGGAUCCCUUGAGCCCAGGAGUUCGAGACCAGCCUGGGCAACAUAGGGAGACCCUGUCUCUU
ensembl:misc_RNA Metazoa_SRP Metazoan signal recognition particle RNA